AGCGAACGCUGGCGGCAGGCUUAACACAUGCAAGUCGAGCGGGCAUAGCAAUAUGUCAGCGGCAGACGGGUGAGUAACGCGUGGGAACGUACCUUUUGGUUCGGAACAACUGAGGGAAACUUCAGCUAAUACCGGAUAAGCCCUUACGGGGAAAGAUUUAUCGCCGAAAGAUCGGCCCGCGUCUGAUUAGCUAGUUGGUGAGGUAAUGGCUCACCAAGGCGACGAUCAGUAGCUGGUCUGAGAGGAUGAUCAGCCACAUUGGGACUGAGACACGGCCCAAACUCCUACGGGAGGCAGCAGUGGGGAAUAUUGGACAAUGGGCGCAACCCUGAUCCAGCCAUGCCGCGUGAGUGAUGAAGGCCCUAGGGUUGUAAAGCUCUUUUGUGCGGGAAGAUAAUGACGGUACCGCAAGAAUAAGCCCCGGCUAACUUCGUGCCAGCCGCCGCCGUAAGAC
rnacentral:rRNA from 1 species